rnacentral:tRNA from 1 species
GCCUGGCUGGCUCAGUCAGCAGAGCAUCUGACUCUUGAUCUCAGGAUCAUGAGUUGGAGUCUCAUGCUGGGCA